UGCUAUGUAAGGUCACCCACCCCCAUUAUGAAGACGUUCCCUCAUUUGACUUUGUCCAGGUUUCUGCUUCCUUCCAGUGCACGACAGGUGGCAGAUGUUGGAUUAAUCUGUACAGUGGGCCUGUCUACUCAAGACCUGGCUGUGCAGCUGCAGAUACUGAAGAGUGUGUGCUCAUGGAUACUGGUCGGAAGAUCUCUGGCCUCCCACAGACCUUGCCAAAGGAUGCUCAGAGCUCCACGCACUUGGCUUCUUACUAUUUGGAAUUUCUGCCUGUGUCCUAUGUGUAAUUAGGAAAUAGCCUAUUGUGACUUGUUCUAGUCACCCCUCCCCUACACCACCAGACUCAGCCUGUUUUGAUUUUCUAAGUUUUUGGACUAGAAGCAAAAACAAAGAUUUUUCUUAAAGCAAUUUCCUGUAAAGCUGCUUUUCAGACUUGUCUUCACAGGUGGAAAGAUCAUGAACUCUGCCGCUUCCAUUAGCUCUUCCAAGACAUGGCUAGGGUGAGAGUCUUUGAAUGGCCCUGCUUGACCAUUUGUUAUGACCAUUCCAUAACAAUAUUUUUUAAUUAACUUUGUUAGUAUUUCAUAGAAUACUGUGUUCUUCAUGAAUUGUUACUGAUGUACAUGUAGAAAUAUUGGCACCACGUGUCAUUACUUAUCCUGGAUAAUUCCUCCUGAGUCUAUAUCAUUGUCUGGUCUGUUGUAAACAACACUGGAUUGACCUGAGCCAGCCAUCUUCUUACUCACUGCACCCAUGGUUAAA
rnacentral:lncRNA from 1 species